rnacentral:rRNA from 1 species
GACAGAGGCUUCAAGCGUUAGGCGGAAUCACUGGGCUUAAAGCGUGUGUAGGCGGAUCGUUAAGUGUCUUGUGAAAUCCCACGGCUCACCCGUGGAACUGCUGGGCAUACUGGCGAUCUUGGGCCAACUAGGGGCAGCCGGAACAAGCGGUGGAGCGGUGAAAUGCGUAGAUAUCGCUUGGAACGCCGAAGGUGAAAACAGCUCGCUGGGGUUGUGCUGACGCUGAGACACGAAAGCCAGGGGAGCGAACGGG